AGAUUGAACGCUGGCGGCAGGCCUAACACAUGCAAGUCGAGCGGUAGAGAGGUGCUUGCAUCUCUUGAGAGCGGCGGACGGGUGAGUAAUGCCUAGGAAUCUGCCUAGUGGUGGGGGAUAACGUUCGGAAACGGACGCUAAUACCGCAUACGUCCUACGGGAGAAAGCGGGGACCUUCGGGCCUCGCGCCAUUAGAUGAGCCUAGGUCGGAUUAGCUAGUUGGUGAGGUAAUGGCUCACCAAGGCGACGAUCCGUAACUGGUCUGAGAGGAUGAUCAGUCACACUGGAACUGAGACACGGUCCAGACUCCUACGGGAGCAGCAGUGGGAAUAUUGGACAAUGGGACGAAAGCCUGAUCCAGCCAUGCCGCGUGUGUGAAA
rnacentral:rRNA from 1 species